GACGAACGCUGGCGGCGUGCUUAACACAUGCAAGUCGUACGGUAAGGCCCUUUCGGGGGUACACGAGUGGCGAACGGGUGAGUAACACGUGAGUAACCUGCCCACAACUUUGGGAUAACGCUAGGAAACUGGUGCUAAUACUGGAUAUGUGCUCCUGCUGCAUGGUGGGGGUUGGAAAGCUCCGGCGGUUGUGGAUGGACUCGCGGCCUAUCAGCUUGUUGGUGGGGUAGUGGCCUACCAAGGCGGCGACGGGUAGCCGGCCUGAGAGGGUGACCGGCCACAUUGGGACUGAGAUACGGCCCAGACUCCUACGGGAGGCAGCAGUGGGGAAUAUUGCACAAUGGGCGCAAGCCUGAUGCAGCAACGCCGCGUGCGGGAUGACGGCCUUCGGGUUGUAAACCGCUUUCAGCAGGGACGAAGCUUUUUGUGACGGUACCUGCAGAAGAAGCACCGGCUAACUACGUA
rnacentral:rRNA from 1 species